rfam:Homo sapiens chromosome 15 genomic contig, GRCh38 reference assembly alternate locus group ALT_REF_LOCI_1.
UUGGAAGAGACCUUUAGAACAGCUGGUCAUUAUACUAACCGGGUGCCUGCACUAAGUUCAGCAUCAAUAUGGUGACCUCCUGUGAGCGGGGGGCCACCAAGUUGCCUAAGGAUGGCUGAACUGGCCGAGGUCAGAAAGGGAGCAGGUCAGAACUCCCGCACCGACCAGUAGUGGGAAUGUGCCUGGGCAGUAUAGCAAGAUCUUGGUUCUUCAAA